rnacentral:rRNA from 1 species
GGGAUAAACUGUGGUAAUUCUAGAGCUAAUACAUGCCACGAAGCGCCGACCUUACGGAAGGCGUGCUUUUAUUAGGAUCAAGACCAACACGGGCUUGCCCGGCUUCGUUGGUGAACUCUGGAUAACUUCGCAGAUCGCAUUGUCAUCGAACAGGCGACAUUUCUUUCAAACGUCUGACCUAUCAAUUUUCGAUGGUACGAUAUGCGCCUACCAUGGUGCUAACGGGUGACGGGGAAUCAGGGUUCGAUUCCGGAGAGGGAGCCUGAGAAAUGGCUACCACAUCCAAGGAAGGCAGCAGGCGCGCAAAUUACCCACUCUCGACACGAGGAGGUAGUGACGAAAAAUAACAAUACAGGACCUUUACAAGGCCCUGUAAUUGGAAUGAGUACACUUUAAAUCCUUUAACGAGGAUCUACUGGAGGGCAAGUCUGGUGCCAGCAGCCGCGGUAAUUCCAGCUCCAGUGGCGUAUAUUAAUACUGCUGCAGUUAAAAAGCUCGUAGUUGGAUCUAGGGCGUAGGCUGAGGGUCCCUCGCAAGGGGUGCACCUCUCUGACCUGGCCUCCCUCGCGGUUUGCGCUCGGUUCUCUUAAUUGAGUGCCGGGUGCUACCGGAACGUUUACUUUGAAAAAAUUGGAGUGUUCAAAGCAGGCGUAACAGCCUGAACAGCAGAGCAUGGAAUAAUGGAAUAGGACCUCGGUUCUAUUGCGUUGGUUUUAAGAGUUACGAGGUAAUGAUUAAGAGGGACUGACGGGGGCAUUCGUAUUGCGGUGUGAGAGGUGAAAUUCUAGGAUCGCCGCAAGACGACCGACAGCGAAAGCAUUUGCCAAGAAUGUCUUCAUUAAUCAAGAACGAAAGUUAGAGGUUCGAAGGCGAUCAGAUACCGCCCUAGUUCUAACCAUAAACUAUGCCGACCGGCGAUUCGCCGGCGUUACUCCAAUGACACGGCAAGCA